CUUCCCUCAAGGCGUCUAGUAGGAGAGACAAAUGAAUUUCUAUCAGGAACUUGAACAUGAAGUACAAAGUAAUAAAAGUGAUAAGAGUAGAGAUAAAACAUCAGGAGAGUUCAAAGGAAGGAAAAGAUUCGUGCAGCCUGGGUAGUGUGUGUGUGUGUGUGUGUGUGUGUGUGUGUGUGUGUGUACGUGUGUAUGGUAGGAGAGGCAACCAGAGAAGGCUUAGUGGAGGAGGAGGCAUUUGAAGUACGCCUUGAAGAAUGAAUAGAAUUUGCAUGAGUGGAAUGAAAGAAGUGGAGGAGGAAGCGUAUCUGGGAGUCAGGAACAGCUUAGGCGAAGACUCAGAGAGUAGAGAACACAGUUUGAACCACUUCUUACUGAACUGGGGAAACCGACCCCUGACAGAUUGAAAGAUGAGGCUUCCUUGAAUGAGAGAAGUGCUACCUAAUAUCGUCGGUGGGAUGGAGUCAGGAAUGGGACAAAGACAAAGG
rnacentral:lncRNA from 10 species